UGAAUACGAGACGCUAAGGCGUCGAAGUAGUGUAUGUCAUACUUCCAAGAAAAGCUUGCACUGUCAUAGAUAAAAAACGCCUGUACCAUAACCGACACAGGUGGGUAGGUAGAGUAUACUAAGGGGCGCGAGAUAACUCUCUCUAAGGAACUCGGCAAAAUAACUCCGUAACUUCGGGAGAAGGAGUGCCUUAUUCGUAAGGUUGCAAUAACAAGAUCCAAGCAACUGUUUAUCAAAAACACAGGUCUCCGCUAAGUCGUAAGACGAUGUAUGGGGGCUGACGCCUGCCCAGUGCCAGAAGGUUAAAGAAGUUGGUUAGCAAUUGCGAAGCUGAUAACUGAAGCCCUGGUGAACGGCGGCCGUAACAAUAACGGUCCUAAGGUAGCGAAAUUCCUUGUCGGGUAAGUUCCGACCCGCACGAAAGGCGUAAUGAUUUGGAUACUGUCUCGGAGAGGGGCUCGGUGAAAUAGACUUGUCUGUGAAGAUGCGGACUACCUGCACCAGGACAGAAAGACCCUAUGAAGCUUUACUGUAACUUGAAAUUGAAAUUGGACUUUAUUCGCGCAGUAUAGGUGGGAGGCGUUGAUUAUAAUCUUGUGGGAUUAUUGGAGCCAUCAGUGAGAUACCACUCUUGUAAUGUUAGAUUUCUAACUUUGAAUCAUUAUCUGGUCAAAGAACAGUUUCAGGCGGGCAGUUUGACUGGGGCGGUCGCCUCCUAAACGGUAACGGAGGCGUACAAAGGUUUCCUCUGAACGGUUAGAAAUCGUAUCUAGAGUGUAAAGGCAUAAGGAAGCUUGACUGUGAGACCUACAAGUCGAGCAGGGACGAAAGUCGGUCUUAGUGAUCUGACGGUACUGAGUGGAAAGGCCGUCACUCAACGGAUAAAAGUUACUCUAGGAUAACAGGCUGAUCUCCCCCAAGAGUUCACAUCGACGGGGAGGUUUGGCACCUCGAUGUCGGCUCAUCGCAUCCUGGGGCGGUAGUACGUCCCAAGGGUUGGGCUGUUCGCCCAUGAAAGCGGUACGCGAGCUGGGUUCAGAACGUCGUGAGACAGUUCGGUCCAUAUCCGGUGUAGGCGUUAGAAUAUUGAGAGGAGCCUUCUUUAGUACGAGAGGACCGAGAAGGACAUACCUCUGGUGUACCAGUUAUCGUGCCAACGGUAAACGCUGGGUAGCUAUGUAUGGAGUGGAUAACCGCUGAAAGCAUCUAAGUGGGAAGCCCACCUCGAGAUAAG
rnacentral:rRNA from 1 species